UACGGAGGAUGCAAGCGUUAUCCGGAAUGAUUGGGCGUAAAGCGUCCGCAGGUGGCUAUGUAAGUCUGCUGUUAAAGAGUCUGGCUCAACCAGAUAAAGGCAGUGGAAACUACAUGGCUAGAGUGCGUUCGGGGCAGAGGGAAUUCCUGGUGUAGCGGUGAAAUGCGUAGAGAUCAGGAAGAACACCGGUGGCGAAGGCGGCUCUCUGGGACGGUACUGACGCUGAGACGCGAAAGCGUGGGGAGCGAACAGG
rnacentral:rRNA from 1 species